rnacentral:rRNA from 1 species
AUGAGAUAUAUCAGAGAGUUGGAAGACUGUAAACCCAAGAAGAUUGGUUCGAUUUCUGCUAGAAGCACCGAACAAUUAAGGCAAAAGUGGAUCCCACCACCGCCGGGUCUCUCCAAGAUCAGGGUAGACGGUGCGGUCUCCAGAGAUAAUCUGUAUGGCUCCUUCAGCGCAGUCUGCAGAGAUUCUUCGGGUCGGUUCCUGGGAGCUUCAGCAAUCAAAAUACAUGGCAUCACUGAGCCUGCAACCCUCGAAGCGCUAGCUUGCCGGGAGGCGCUUGCACUAGCCUCAGACUUGGCUUUGUCCGAUUUCAUAGUUGCUUCUGACUGCCAAGGUGUGGUAAAUGAUAUCAAGCAUCACACGGGAGGGACUUAUGCAAGCACAGUCAUGGAGGUUGUUGACACAUCAAGAGAGUUUCAUCAGUGUACCUUCAUCUUCGAAGGUAGAACAACCAAUAUCGAGGCGCACAGUCUCGCUAAACAUGCUUUCGGUCUGGAUCUAGGGCGCCAUUUGUGGCUAAUAAACCCUCCAGACAUUCAUUGUAUCCCUAUAAACUUAUUUGAUUAA